GGGCUUGUGGUUUAGUGGUAUAAUACUCCCUUAGCAUCUGAGGGCCUUCUUUCCGAGAAGUGCUCACGGGAAAUUGGGAGUGGUCCGGGGUUCGAUUCCCCGCGAGUCCA
rfam:Fungal sp. No.14919 DNA, contig: Contig0017.